rnacentral:tRNA from 1 species
GGUAAGGUGGCCGAGCAGGCGGCGGAUUGUAGUCCCGAAGACGGAGGUAAAGUCCUCCCCCUACCA